rnacentral:rRNA from 1 species
GAUGAACGCUGGCGGCGUGCUUAACACAUGCAAGUCGAACGGAAAGGCCUCUGCUUGCAGGGGUACUCGAGUGGCGAACGGGUGAGUAACACGUGGGUGAUCUGCCCUGCACUUCGGGAUAAGCCUGGGAAACUGGGUCUAAUACCGGAUAGGACAAUGGUUUGGAUGCUGUUGUGGAAAGUUUUUCGGUGUGGGAUGAGCUCGCGGCCUAUCAGCUUGUUGGUGGGGUAAUGGCCUACCAAGGCGUCGACGGGUAGCCGGCCUGAGAGGGUGUACGGCCACAUUGGGACUGAGAUACGGCCCAGACUCCUACGGGAGGCAGCAGUGGGGAAUAUUGCACAAUGGGCGCAAGCCUGAUGCAGCGACGCCGCGUGGGGGAUGACGGCCCUCGGGUUGUAAACUCCUUUCGCUAGGGACGAAGCGUUUUUGUGACGGUACCUGGAGAAGAAGCACCGGCUAACUACGUG